GAGGGAGAGGGAGAGGGGGCAUGAACUCGUGGUCAUUUCUGGAAUCCCAGCCGUAGGGUCGGGCCCUGCGGCUCUGUUUUGUCUUUACUCCUUUCCCACCCCCUCUCUUUAUUGUUCUUUAUCUUCUUCUUGCCUCCCCACCCACACCCCUCCUCACUCACUCUCCCCAACAGUAAUCAUUCAUCCAUCAUCACCGCCCUUUCCCACCUCCCCUCGUCUCCACCUCCAUUUCCCCCCCUUGAAAGAAGCCGGAACUUGUGGGCGAGGAGGGGGAGAGAGAGAGAGAGAGAGAGAGAGAGAGAGAGAGUUCUCUGAGGACCAAAAGAGCUAGAAGUGGUACAAAGAGGAAGCUUUUCUUUUGAGGGGAAUGUUGUCUGGUUCGAGGCCUUUCUCCCAGUAGAUGAUGUCUCCCAGUGAAAGACUAUCUCGGACCAGGCUUCAUUCCCCCCAACAGCAGCUUCCGUCAUCUCCUCUACCGAGAUCGGCGGAUCGCCAACUUUCUCUUGAGAGUUAUAAACAGUUUCAGGGAUCUAUCUGCAGGUGUGCGGACUUGCUAUUCUUUUCUUUCUUGUUUCGUGUUGCGAUUUGCUGAUGCGCAGCUAGGUUUCGUGUUGCUUUUGUUCUUUUGUGAUGAUUAUCUGAGAGGAGGAGGAGGAGGAGGAGGAGGAGAGGGAGCAGAUUGGUGUAAUGAUGGCGAAUUUGACCUCCUGCCUAUCUAUCUUCCUUUCUUCUGUUUCCUUUUCUUUCCCAUCUUUUCCAGUCCGAUAGAAAGGGUUCAUUGCCUUUUAGAAGGGAACUUUUGUUCGAUUUCUUCCCUUAUUUCAAAAGAACCAAAAAUGCUGCUUAACCUUUCUCGGUUAACAUUCUUAUGUUUCAUAGGGAUUUGAGAUUUGAUCGGGUUCUGAAGAUUGCUUCCAAAUCUUCACACCUUUUUUUGCCUCCUUUUCGGUUUUCCUUCUUUAUUUCCCUUGCCUUUUCGCCAAGAAGUACUAAGAAAAGAAAAGCUAGGAAAUUACAAUUGGGACGGACUAUUCUUUUUGGUGCUUAUUUUGCUAUGGAACCUUUUGAUGCCUUAGAUUUUGGUAAAUUAAUUCAAAGCAAUUGAUUUAAUCUCCUAAUAAAAAAAAAUUUAUUUUCUUUGCUUCACUACUAAUUAAGUUUUGUGGACAUGCAAUUUUUGAUCUGUCGCGGUGGUGUUCUGGUGCUCAAUGGAAAAAAAAAGUAGAAGUGUUACUCUAUCACUUUGUUUUGAUGUGCUUUUCUUUUGCCAUUUGUCAUGUGAUAUUCCUAAUUCUAACGAGUCAGAAGCAUGCAGCUGUCUGUUUCUUUUUCUGACGAAAGGCAAGCAUGUAGCUGCCUUAAAUACCUUUCAUCUUAGUAGAUAUUUCCGAGGCAAAGUUUGAAUCUGGUGUGCCCAUGCAGGUACAUGAUCUUCUCCACCUUUUCUUUUUUCUCCUCACCCAUCCACUGUCCGUUUAAUUUCAUAUUGCACCCCACAGUUUCCCAUUAUCUCGCUCUUAUUUAUGACCAUUACUCAACCAGGGUAUAAGGAUGUAUGCAAUCUUUUUCUUAGAGUAAAAUUAAUAUGUGCAAUCUUGCAACAAGCUAGAAUCAAUAGUAUGCUGGAAUCUGUAAUUUGAUAUUGUAGUAUUGUACCAGUUGUAGACAUCUUAUGACUCAUAAUAAAAUGAAAUGGGUUUACUCUUUUUGUCAUGCCUAGUCGCAUUUCGUAUCCCUGUUUUAGUGUAAAUGCCAUGCAUCAAAGCCUUUUUCUAAUAUUUGCUUUGGAAUAUUAUUUUGAAAACAUGAUCUAUUCGAUAAAACUUUCGAACUCUGGCAUUCGAACAAGUUUGGUUAUCGAUAAAAAUGGCGAAGGGGCAUUAAUUCAUAGCUUCAUGAAUGUUUUCCUUGUGAUUGUAGGCCUAAUGCACUCGAAAUUAUUUAUGGAUUGUUGAGUUUAAUUUCUAAGUUCUCAAUGUGACAUGCAAGAAAUUCUUGCAGCACAGGCAUCUUGCCACUUGUAAAACUAUCUCCACCUCCAUGUUGAACUGGACAUCAGUAUAUAGGUGGCUCCAUUUGCAAUUUUUGCCAAUGUGGCACAUUUUACUCAUGAAGAUGUCAUGAUAAAUAUGAAAGUGUCUGAAAAAAACACAGCAUGUUUCCAAGUGAAGAAACAUUUCGUUUCAAAAAUGUUUUCUUAAAGAACAACAUAAAUUAGCUACUUGGUUGGCCCAAAGUUAAAUUACAUAAUAUGAUUUGUAGAAUUACAUAGGCAUAUUCACUCAUUUAUUAUUAUUUUUUUCUUCUCCAAUUCUACACAGAACAUACAACUCCCAUCUUCUCCAUCUUUUUGUCUGGUUCUGUUUCACUUUGGUGUUUCCAAGGAUAACCUGUGCUGUAAGAAAAUAACUUCAGGAUUCAUAUCCUGAGCCUUUAAAUAUAUGACUUGAACAAGCUUCAUUUUGCUCAACGCGGUAUGAGGAAUGCAAAACUCAUUGCUUAUUUGUCUUAAAUAUUUAUUGGAACUAUAUUUUUUUUUAACCCAAUUUUUUUAUACGCAUCUCUUUAUAUAUAUAUUUUUUAAAUUUGUUGUCCUUAAACAGAUACUAUUUAGAGUUCAAUUUUGAAAACAAAUUUUGGUAUAAAAAGUGUGAUUCUGCUCUUCAUAUUUAUCAAAACUUGUUUGAUUUCUACUUUACUUACAUAUGUACGAGAUGUUAAGAUCCAGAAAAUAGGAAUGGUGGCGUUUAAAUUUUAUCUUUAAAAGUGAAAUUUACAUAAUUAAAGAUAGUAUAGAAUAUAAAACAGAAAAAGCAAACUAAGUGGGAAAGAGUUGUGCUAUUAUUAUAUUAUUAUGGCUUUUCAAAAACUACUUCAUAAUCAUUUUCCGAAUGGAGACUUCAGAUUUAUGUAGGCUUAUUGCUUGAUCGUAUUAGAAAAUUGGAUAAUUUUUCCCUCGCGACAUCCAAAAGCCCUAAUUUCUUCGCCAUUCAACUUAAUUUUGGUAUCUCAGCUAUACUAUGAGCAAUAGAUUAAGAAUGGCUUAUAUGGUAAUUUAAUCCUCCAAGAUCCUAGCCAAGAGGUGUGAAUUAGUUGACUAUAGUCGCAAGUUGGUAAGAAAAUUUACUUAUCGUACAAGUAGACAGGCCUAACCUAUCCUCCAUAGUUUUUUUUGGUACUAAUCUCUUGGGACAAGGGGAUGUUGCUUCAACAUUAUGGACAUGAAUUAGGACGGUAGCUACCUGCAGACAAACUUGUCCUUUAAAUUAAUGAGGUGGCAUCAAAAGCUCAAAUUAUGGAAGUUUGUUUUGAAUUCAAAUGGUUGUGAUUGCAUGACAAAAAUACCAUUGCAAGUUAAAAGAUGGAGUUAAUUUAUGAUUUUGUACUGAGAGGUCUAAGGUCCAUAUUUCAUCACCCAAUUUCACAUUGUACUACCUUUCUAACUCCUAGAAAUUACCAUUCUACGUUUUUUGAAUUCUAAAACUUAUCAAAGAUAAAUUAGCAGAACGCGAAAUCUAUGUUUUACUUGCAUGGAGCCAUGAUGGUUAAGUUAGAUUGUUUGGGUUAAGUUGGAUUAGUUGAUUUGGUUGGGUUAUUUAUUUCGUUAUAGGUUGAUUAUGAAUUAUGGGACUAUGGAGAUGGCAAGGAUUAGGAUAUAAUGGUAAUGAAUUGGACUUCAGUUACUUGCGGUGGCUAUUGGUUUGAGAUGAACUAGAUUACCAUAUCAAGCUGGAAGUUUAAUAGGUCGUUGCCUGUUUGAUUUGUUCCAGAUAAAUUUGAGACCAUCAUCAAAGUGGCAGUGCAGCACGUCAACGGUACUUGAUCACCAAACCAUGCAUGCAGGUCAUCCGAGGUACAGAAUGACGUGGAAGUGAUUGUGUUGUCACUGGUUUCAUCAUCUCACCAUUCGGCUGAUGGGCCCAAGUUGGGCCGAGCAGAUUUGGAUGUAACAGAGCAUCUGAAAAGAACACACAUUGGUACAGGGUUAAACCCUAUGAAUAUACGGCUGCUCGGCUAGGGCCAUCGGGUCGGGGUAUCUCUCACUCUCUAUUAUAAGUAGCAGCAGCAGCAACUUCUAUGAUCUUAUGCAUCUACCUCACAACAAAAUAACAGCAGGGUACUAAUGAAUACGACCAGAGCCGAAGCAGUCUCUUGAAUCCAAAUUGCAUUAGUCCGAGAAAUGCUCCAACCAUGCAUGACCUUCCAAAGAUCCCACCCAGUUCAAUUAUUUCGGUCCAAAAUGCUCUUUCAUUCAACAGUCUAUAUAUCCAAUCCUGUGUUCCUGCCAUUGCUUUGUCUUGGUUGUCUCAGUUCACAAAUAUCAUUUUACCACCAUAAAUAAUUGAUGCUGGCUGCUAACCAGUCCAUACGCGUUUUAUAAGGAUUAAGUGACCAAGUGAAACACGCAUUUAAAAAGUCAUGGGGUCAUCUCGGAAAUCAUGGAACAAUCUUUCCUCCCACCGAGCCCCACCACACGUUUCCAAAGGAAGGAGGACAAGUCCAAUCAGCAACUGUUCAAUGCCGAGAGCUGACGAAAGCCUGUGGAGAAUGGGGGAUCCCACACCAACUCUCGGAGUUUCCAUGCCGUAUGGAUAUUACAGUGAACGAAGCAAUGUCAUUGGCCAAAGAUCAUGCAAUCUACUCUAGAUUUCUUUUAUUUUUAAGGCAUGUUUGGUUGGCGACCGGAUUAAACCUGAAAUU